UGUCCGAUUGUGUAACGGUAGCACAACAGGUUCUGGCUCUGUUUGUCUUGGUUCGAAUCCAGGUCGGACAA
rnacentral:tRNA from 1 species